AUGCCCAAAAUCGUCCAAGCCAGGAUUCAGCAAUACGUGAACCAUGAAAUUCUAGAUGUUCAAGCUGGUUUUAGAAAAGGCAGAAGAACCAGAGAUCAAAUUGCCAACAUCCGCUGGAUCAUGGAAAAAGCAAGAGAGUUCCAGAAAAACAUCUACUUCUGCUUUAUUGACUAUGCCAAAGACUUUGACUGUGUGGAUCACAAUAAACUGUGGAAAAUUCUGAAAGAGAUGGGAACACCAGAACACCUGACCUGCCUCUUGAGAAACCUAUAUACAGGUCAGGAAGCAACAGUUAGAACUGGACAUGGAACAACAGACUGGUUCCACAUAGGAAAAGGAGUGCAUCAAGGCUGUAUAUUGUCACCCUGCUUAUUUAACUUCUAUGCAGAGUACAUCAUGAGAAACGCUGGACUGGAAGAAACACAAGCUGGAAUCAAGAUUGCUGGGAGAAAUAUCAAUAACCUCAGAUAUGCAGAUGGCACCACCCUUAUGGCAGAAAGUGAAGAGGAACUAAAAAGCCUCUUGAUGAAAGUGAAAGAGGAGAGUGAAAAAGUUGGCUUAAAGCUCAACAUUCAGAAAACGAAGAUCAUGGCGUCUGGUCCCAUCAGUUCAUGGCAAAUAGAUGGGGAAACAGCAGAAACAGUGUCAGACUUUAUUUUUUGGGGCUCCAAAAUCACUGCAGAUGGUGACUGCAGCCAUGAAAUUAAAAGACGCUUACUCCUUGGAAGAAAAGUUAUGACCAACCUAGAUAGUAUACUGAAAAGCAGAGACAUUACUUUGCCGACUAAGGUCCGUCUAGUCAAGGCUAUGGUUUUUCCUGUGCUUAUGUAUGGAUGUGAGAGUUGGACUGUGAAGAAGGCUGAACGCCGAAGAAUUGAUGUGUUUGAACUGUGGUGUUGGAGAAGACUCUUGAGAGUCCCUUGGACUGCAAGGAGAUCCAACCAGUCCAUUCUGAAGGAGAUCAGCCCUGGGAUUUCUUUGGAAGGACUGAUGCUAAAGCUGAAACUCCAGUACUCUGGCCACGUCAUGCAAAGAGUUAACUCAUUGGAAAAGACUUUGAUGCUGGGAGGGAUUGGGGGCAGGAGGAGAAGGGGAUGA
rnacentral:lncRNA from 1 species